CCCCCUACGGGAGGCAGCAGUGAGGAAUAUUGGUCAAUGGCCGGAAGGCUGAACCAGCCAAGCCGCGUGAAGGACGAAGGUGCCAAGCAUUGUAAACUUCUUUUGUCAAGGGACAAAAUCAGGCUCGAGAGCCUGACCGAGGGUACUUGAAGAAAAAGCAUCGGCUAACUCCGUGCCAGCAGCCGCGGUAAUACGGAGGAUGCGAGCGUUAUCCGGAUUUAUUGGGUUUAAAGGGUGCGUAGGCGGACUGUUAAGUCAGCAGUAAAAUUUCGGGGCUCAACCCCGUCGUGCCGUUGAAACUGGCG
rnacentral:rRNA from 1 species